CAAAUCAGAGCCAGAUCCUCGGAGCUCCUCAAGGUGUGGGCCAGGCAGGGAAGAACAGCUCCGAAAGGCUCAGCACUUCUGACCAGUUGAGGAGCGCAGCAGUUUUGUAGGGAAGUGCACGUCAAUUAUAGCAGGUUCCACUCAACCUGGAUGAAGACAACAUUCAUGUUGGUUUCACCUUUGAUGCUAAUUUCCUAAUUUCACUCUUUGUCUUUCUUUUUGAACCAUGAAACCCUUUUUUGUUAAUUUUGUUUCAUUUUCCACAUAAGCUUUUUGUAAAGACCCUUCUCUAAAGACAACAGUCUGCAAAGUGUCAUGAUUAAAAUAAUACUCCCAAGCAAUUGAAACAGAAGGGCCGAGGGCUGAAGGGAACAUUGAAUUCAAAGCUGCUCAAAGCGCCAUUUUCCCCCCAGAGGUACCUGAGAGACUAAGAAAUGGAAGCCCUCAAGGAGCACUUGGCUCAGUGUUGUUUCCUUGGAGAGAGAGAGAGAGAAAGAGAGAGAGAGUUUAUAUUGCAUUUUUAUAUGACCCGAUAAAGGUUACGCAGGCAAAGAACAGCUUUGGAAAACAUCUCACUUUAUUUUCUUAAAGCACUUCUCACUGCCCUGCUCUUUUAUUUCAGACCAUUACCUAAUUGAAACUGGUGAUGGAGCAGCAAAGUAAAACAGACAUUUUAUCUGUAUCCCCUUACCACUGCCCUCUGAUGGAAGAUAGGCCAGAUUUUUUUUUUAAUUUUGAAAAUUUUUCA